rnacentral:rRNA from 1 species
AUAAUUUCUUGGUUUUAAUAAGAAACAUAGCCUGCUCACUGAGUUUAUUUUAAGGGCUGCAGUAUUAUGACUGUACAAAGGUAGCACAAUCACUAGCCUUUUAAUUAAGGGCGGGAAUGAACGGCGAGACAAAAGAAUACUAUCUGUUAGGUAUGUUUAUUGAAUUUUUCUUUUUUGUAAGAAGACAAAGAUACUAAUAAAAGACAAGAAGACCCUUUUAAAUUUUAUAGGGUUAAAGUAAGAAACAUAUUUUAUAUAAUUAUUAUUAUUUGAAGCCUUGUUUUGCUGGGGCGGCAAAUGUUAUAAGCAAUAAAAGUAAUAAAUAAUGCCUUUAAAUUAUUAGGUGAGCCUGAGUUGAGGUAGCAGGAUUAAAUUACUGAAGGGAUAACAGCGUAAUAUUAUUUAAGAGUUCAUAUUGACAAUAGUGUUUGCGA